GACGAACGCUGGCGGCGUGCCUAAUACAUGCAAGUAGAACGCUGAAGGAGGAGCUUGCUUCUCUGGAUGAGUUGCGAACGGGUGAGUAACGCGUAGGUAACCUGCCUGGUAGCGGGGGAUAACUAUUGGAAACGAUAGCUAAUACCGCAUAAUAGUAGAUGUUGCAUGACAUUUGCUUAAAAGGUGCAAUUGCAUCACUACCAGAUGGACCUGCGUUGUAUUAGCUAGUAGGUGAGUUAACGGCUCACCAAGGCGACGAUACAUAGCCGACCUGAGAGGGGAAUCGGCCAAACUGGGACUGGGACACGGCCCAGACUUCGACGGGAGGCAGCAGGAGGGAAUCGUCGGCAAGGGACGGAAGUCUGACCGAGCAACGCAGCGUGAGUGAAGAAGGUUUUCGGAUCGUAAAGCUCAGUUGUAUGAGAAGAACGAGGGGGAGAGUGGAAAGUUCACACUGUGACGGUAUCUAACCAGAAAGGGACGGCUAACUACGUG
rnacentral:rRNA from 1 species